rnacentral:rRNA from 1 species
UACGAAGGGGGCUAGCGUUGUUCGGAUUUACUGGGCGUAAAGCGCGCGUAGGCGGAUCGCUAAGUCAGGGGUGAAAUCCCAAGGCUCAACCUUGGAAUUGCCUUUGAUACUGGCAAUCUGGAGUUCGGGAGAGGUGAGUGGAAUUCCGAGUGUAGAGGUGAAAUUCGUAGAUAUUCGGAAGAACACCAGUGGCGAAGGCGGCUCACUGGCCCGUUACCGACGCUCAGGCGCGACAGCGUGGGGAGCAAACAGG